rnacentral:rRNA from 1 species
CGUAGGGUGCGAGCGUUAAUCGGAAUUACUGGGCGUAAAGCGUGCGCAGGCGGUUUAGUAAGACAGGCGUGAAAUCCCCGGGCUCAACCUGGGAACUGCGCUUGUGACUGCUAAGCUAGAGUACGGCAGAGGGGGGUGGAAUUCCACGUGUAGCAGUGAAAUGCGUAGAGAUGUGGAGGAACACCAAUGGCGAAGGCAGCCCCCUGGGUCGAUACUGACGCUCAUGCACGAAAGCGUGGGUAGCAAACAGGAUUAGAUACCCUGGUAGUCCACGCCCUAAACGAUGUCAACUAGGUAGUUGGGAGGGUAAAACCUUUUAGUACCGGAGCCAACGCGUGAAGUUGACCGCCUGGGGAGUACGGCCGCAAGGUUA